GACGAACCGAGCGAACGUUGUUCGGAAUCACUGGGCUUAAAGGGCGCGUAGGCGGGUGCUCAAGCCUGUGGUGAAAUCCCUCGGCUUAACCGGGGAACUGCGUCUGAUACUGGAUGGCUUGAGUUCGGGAGAGGGAUGCGGAAUUCCAGGUGUAGCGGUGAAAUGCGUAGAUAUCUGGAGGAACACCGGUGGCGAAGGCGGCAUCCUGGACCGACACUGACGCUGAGGAGCGAAAGCCAGGGGAGCAAACGGG
rnacentral:rRNA from 1 species